rnacentral:tRNA from 1 species
AUAUAAAUAGUAUAGUUUAUUACAUAAGUUUUUCGUACUUAAAACACAGAACAUUCUGUUUUAUAUA